UACGAAGGGGGCUAGCGUUGUUCGGAAUUACUGGGCGUAAAGCGCACGUAGGCGGAUAUUUAAGUCAGGGGUGAAAUCCCGCAGCUCAACUGCGGAACUGCCUUUGAUACUGGGUAUCUUGAGUAUGGAAGAGGUUAGUGGAAUUGCGAGUGUAGAGGUGAAAUUCGUAGAUAUUCGCAGGAACACCAGUGGCGAAGGCGGCUAACUGGUCCAUAACUGACGCUGAGGUGCGAAAGCCAGGGGAGCAAACGGG
rnacentral:rRNA from 1 species